AUGAAGUUUCUGGGAAUUGAACUCAGGACCUCUGGAAGAGCAGUCAGUGCUUUCAAAUGCUGAGCCAUCUCUCCAGCCCUGGAGUGGCACUUCUUAAAGUAUAUGGUCUUGAAAACCAUAAGAAGCAAACAGCAUGGAAUGGAUGAGAGGAUCUCAACUUGAUGGAUGUGUGGCUCAUGUAAAUCUUGAAGAGUAACAGCAUCUUGAAGGACAGGCUGGAGAGGAAGAUACCGCUUCUCAAACUCUGCAGUAUCAUAGUCUGGAAAAUGCAGUGAAUAGCCGCAGGGAAACACUGCCUGCCACAGAAGGCAUACUGAAGUGAUAAUCAAAUAACACGAGGAAGGGUGCUAUUUUCACACCCAUCAAGUUGCUGAUACAAUUAUUAAUACGUUAUCUAUCUAUCUGCCUACCUAUCAUCUAUACAUGGCUUUUUAUCUCUCUAACAUCUAUCUAUCUAUCAUCUACCUACCAUCUUUUUUUUUUUUUAUUUUGAGCCAAUGAAUUUAUGGAGGCAUUUCCUUAUAGUGGUGGCACCCGGCUCAGAACAUGAAGAGGAAGUUUGUACUUCCCACACUGCCCAGAUCUCUCAGAGUAGAGGUAGAAACAAAAAUUUAAUGAAAAGGCUAUUUCCAUAAACUACUAUGACAACCAGAAAAAUCAUGAGAUUCUUGAAAACAGGGAUUCCUUAACUUCUCUUUAUACUUAAAAUUUUCAAAACCUAAUUUACUAAGGGUUCUCAAAUGUUUCAACCCCUCUUCUAGUGUACUUUCCAAAGUUAAGGGAGAAAAGAUGGUAAAUAGGACAAAGGAAUGUGGACUUGUCCCCUCCUUGGGUCUUGCCCCAGCAAAAAAUCAUGUGCCUCUGCAUCAUACGACAUAACCAAAAACUUCCACUUUAGUUCUACAAUGCUAUGCUACUUGGAAAUCAGAAACCAAGUGACUCAAAGAUGCCCUAGCCUGAGGAAUGCUUUUAGUUACAUAUACCUUAACCAAGCAUCUCAGUGGCUAAACUAUUUUCCCACUACUCUUUUCUAAUACAGGAACUGAGCCACACUGACCCUGACAUACUAGGAGGCCCAAAUGAGGUUAGAAACCUGUUGUAUGAAUUCAAAUUCUCAUUCUUACCAUUUUUUCACUCCUUCUCUAAUUCAUCAUGUGGAGCUGUUAGGGAAUCUAGUGUAUCUAUACACUAUUAUUAUUGUAGGCCAGAGACUGAGUAGAGGACCUUUAAAUAUAAUCCAUGUUCUUAUAAGCAUUAUGCUUAUAGAGUUUAGAACUAAAUCUGAACUAGUUUUAAUUCACAGUGGCAUUAAUAUCCUUGUGUCAUUAUUUUUCAUGCUUCUGAUAAAUGUGUUCUUCUAAUAAUACUCAUUGUACUUUAGCAGAGUUCACAGAUCAUAAAAGAAAAGCAGGUCAUAUAAAAUUUGAAAAAUGUAUUCUUAGUGUCUUUCUAGCACUGAAACACCUCCUUUUUAAAUUCUUUGAAGAUAUUAUUGCAGUGAUUAAUCUUGAUUGUUAACUUAAAGCAUUAUAAAGUUACUAUGGAAACAAA